rnacentral:rRNA from 1 species
UAGGGAAUCUUCCGCAAUGGGCGAAAGCCUGACGGAGCAACGCCGCGUGAGUGAUGAAGGUCUUCGGAUCGUAAAACUCUGUUAUUAGGGAAGAACAUAUGUGUAAGUAACUGUGCACAUCUUGACGGUACCUAAUCAGAAAGCCACGGCUAACUACGUGCCAGCAGCCGCGGUAAUACGUAGGUGGCAAGCGUUAUCCGGAAUUAUUGGGCGUAAAGCGCGCGUAGGCGGUGUUUUAAGUCUGAUGUGAAAGCCCACGGCUCAACCGUGGAGGGUCAUUGGAAACUGGAAAACUUGAGUGCAGAAGAGGAAAGUGGAAUUCCAUGUGUAGCGGUGAAAUGCGCAGAGAUAUGGAGGAACACCAGUGGCGAAGGCGACUUUCUGGUCUGUAACUGACGCUGAUGUGCGAAAGCGUGGGGAUCAAACA